CAGCCUGCUAAUGUAGUUCUCAAACUUUACUGUCCGUCGAGGAUGUCGGGAGCCCUCAUUUGAAAAAUGCAGAUUCAAGGCUUCUCUCACGGAGAGUUUGGGCUUCCUCACAACAUGGCGACCUCAGGACAGCCAGACUACAGCGCUUCCACGGGAGCUGAAGACUUCCAGGGCAAGUGUUCUGGUUAAGAAGCUGGAAGCUGCACGGCGUUCUGCGAUCUGGCCUCAGAAGGCAGAGAACUCAAGGACAUCACGCUCACAAUCUUCUGAGGAACUGUUGUGCUGCAAAGGGAAGGAACUCAUUCAGUGUUGCUGGAUUCCAAGGAAGAGUGGAUUGCAAUUCAUUGUGCAGAGGAGACUUUCACCAGUGAGUGCUGUCCA